UUAUUGCAGAAUAAACCAGCACUGACAUUGGCUCCCCUGCAAAAUAUACGAUUUAGAACGACAUUUCGCUCCAAAGUGUAUUUCACAAGCAACCUCCUACUAUUGCACAAAGUUAUUGCAGCAGAUCCCACGAUUGUGUAGUACACCAAGCUGGAGGGGUAAUGUAACGGAAUCCGGCUAAGCCUAAGCUUACAAACGGCCAUUCAACAUUUCCUAUUAUAAAAAAUGGCAUAGCCUACGUCAAUUUUUUGUAGCUGACAUGUAUGUGGAACCAUUCGUAAAAAAGUGUGGACCAUUGACGUUGAGAACCGCGAGCGAAUCAAUCCAAAUCUGCCUCCUCCCCGUCGUUAUUCCCUGCUUUGAGGGAACAGCAGUAGGAGGGAGUAAACGAGCUUCGUGCGAGUAUGAGGAAGAGAAGCAGCGUGAAGAGGAGGGAGUCUGGCGCCGGAAUUGAAGCUGGAGCACCGGUCCACUGCCGAAAGCGACCCAUCUGUCUACAGAGUCUACCUUGCCCCCUGGGCCCCAGAGCUGUGCAGGGAGUGGAGCAUCCAUCAACCCACACUGAGAUAUGACACCCUGAGAGCAGCCUGUAACUUGUUUAGAGCAAAGACCUGUUUGGCAGGCAGGUGGUUGAACUGCAGACCACUGAACUGCUAAAACCAUGUAGAUCGUAAUUAGAAAACGUCCUCUGUUAUUACAUCAGAAACAGCAUCAUUCUGGAAAUAAUAAAAUGAACAAUUUAAUAAAUAAAU